CACCAAGGCCCUGAAUCAGUUAAGAUUCGGAGGAACGUUCCCCAAUGGACUGGAACCGUCCAAUCCCUACGGAGCAGCAGUAGAAUUUGUCAUGACGAGGUCGAACAGCAGUAGCGUGCAGAUUGACGCCUAUGGUGUUAACUGCUUUAUACAAGGGAUAACGAGGGAACGUGUCCCUUUUUGUUAAGUACCUUAUGAAUAAGGACCGGCUAUUCCGUGCAGCAGCCGCCGUAAUAACGGAAGGUCCCGGCGUUAUUCUGAUUUUAUGGGUUUAAAGGAGCGCAGGCUGAUGAUUAAGCGUGAUUGUGAAAUGUAGCCGCUCAACGGCUGAACUGCGUCGCGAACUGGUUAUCUUGAGUGAGUUCGAUGUUGGCGGAAUUUCGUGGUGUAGCGGUGAAAUGCUUAGAUAUCACGAAGAACUCCGAUUGCGAAGGCAGCCAACAAGGCCUUUACUGACGCUAAAGCUCGAAGGUGCGGGUAUCGAACAGGAUUAGAUACCCUGGUAGUCCGCACGGUAAACGAUGGAUGCCCGCUGUUUGCGAUAUACUGUGAGCGGCCAAGAGAAAUCGUUAAGCAUCCCACCUGGGGAGUACGCCGGCAACGGUGAAACUCAAAGGAAUUGACGGGGGCCCGCACAAGCGGAGGAACAUGUGGUUUAAUUCGAUGAUACGCGAGGAACCUUACCCGGGCUUGAACUGCAGGAGAACGAUACAGAGAUGUUGAGGCCCUUCGGGGCUCCUGUGGAGGUGCUGCAUGGUUGUCGUCAGCUCGUGCCGUGAGGUGUCGGCUUAAGUGCCAUAACGAGCGCAACCCUUUUCAUUAGUUGCCAUCAGGUAAUGCUGGGCACUCUGGUGAUACUGCCACCGUAAGGUGUGAGGAAGGUGGGGAUGACGUCAAAUCAGCACGGCCCUUACGUCCGGGGCUACACACGUGUUACAAUGGGGGGUACAGAAGGCGGGAUCAAUGCAAAUUGGUUCAAAUCUUAAAAGCCCUCCUCAGUUCGGAUUGGGGUCUGCAACCCGACCCCAUGAAGCUGGAUUCGCUAGUAAUCGCGCAUCAGCCAUGGCGCGGUGAAUACGUUCCCGGGCCUUGUACACACCGCCCGUCAAGCCAUGAAAGCCGGGGGCGCUUGAAGUCCGUGACCGCAAGGAUCGGCCUAGAGCGAAACUGGUAAUUGGGGCUAAGUCGUAACAAGGUAAAUUCACUGCCCGUUGGAUCCCCCCU
rnacentral:rRNA from 1 species